AACUCUCAACCCCCUUGUUUUGUAACGAAGCAGGCGUGGGCUUGGAUUAUGGCUGUCUGCUGGACUCUUUAACUAGAGAUCGGCUCGGCUGAAAUACACGAGUAACCCAGUUUGAACAUUAACGGCUUGACUCGGCGUAAUAGCUUUAUUUCGCUGAGGACGUUUCAUAUCAAGAUAGUGGUGCUUCUAAUGCGUCGUAGCGUCAGCUGCACAACCUUUAAGC
rnacentral:misc_RNA from 1 species